UACGGGGGGAGCAAGCGUUGUUCGGAUUUACUGGGCGUAAAGGGCGCGUAGGCGGCCACCGCAAGUCGACUGUGAAAUCUCCGGGCUUAACCCGGAAAGGUCAGCCGAUACUGCGGGGCUAGAGUGCAGAAGGGGCAACUGGAAUUCUCGGUGUAGCGGUGAAGUGCGUAGAUAUCGAGAGGAACACCUGCGGCGAAGGCGGGUUGCUGGGCUGACACUGACGCUGAGGCGCGAAAGCUAGGGGAGCAAACAGG
rnacentral:rRNA from 1 species